GUUCGCUGGAAAAUCAUACUGAGACCGAAUACACCACUCUUGCCUUCACCUGCAUCUCUCAGAGGAAGCGGGCGCUCGUUCAGUUUUCAACUCCAUUCAGAAUCUUAGAAUGUGAGAAUAACAGUGUAAAAGAACCUGUUGCAAAGAGAGCCAAAGCAAAGCAGCCCACUUGGUCAUGGAAAUGGGGAUUCCUGCCUGCACAAGAACCUGGACCACAGCUAAGACCAUCAAUUCCCUCUCAGUCACACACCUGACAGCUCAUUAUGCAGCUCAUUAUGCGGGCCUUUGUCUUCUCAGGUGUGAAUCACAGCAUUAUCCAUGACCAU